rnacentral:rRNA from 1 species
AAACCAACCGGGAUUGCCUUAGUAACGGCGAGUGAAGCGGCAAAAGCUCAAAUUUGAAAUCUAGUACCUUCGGUGCUCGAGUUGUAAUUUGUAGAGGGAUACUUUGGGGCCGUUCCUUGUCUAUGUUCCUUGGAACAGGACGUCAUAGAGGGUGAGAAUCCCGUGUGGCGAGGAGUGCGGUUCUAUGUAAAGUGCCUUCGAAGAGUCGAGUUGUUUGGGAAUGCAGCUCUAAGUGGGUGGUAAAUUCCAUCUAAAGCUAAAUAUUGGCGAGAGACCGAUAGCGAACAAGUACAGUGAUGGAAAGAUGAAAAGAACUUUGAAAAGAGAGUGAAAAAGUACGUGAAAUUGUUGAAAGGGAAGGGCAUUUGAUCAGACAUGGUGUUUUGCGCCCUCUGCUCCUUGUGGGUGGGGGACUCUCGCAGCUCACUGGGCCAACAUCAGUUUUGGUGGUCGGACAAAUCCGUAGGAAUGUAGCUUGCCUCGGUAAGUGUUAUAGCCUGCGGGAAUACGGCCAGCCGGGACUGAGGACUGCGACUUUUGUCAAGGAUGUUGGCAUAAUGGUUAUAUGCCGC